rnacentral:rRNA from 1 species
AUUGAACGCUGGCGGCAGGCCUAACACAUGCAAGUCGAGCGAGCGGCGGACGGGUGAGUAAUGUCUGGGAAACUGCCUGAUGGAGGGGGAUAACUACUGGAAACGGUAGCUAAUACCGCAUACCAUCAGAUAUUCCCAGAUGGGAUUAGCUAGUAGGUGGGGUAACGGCUCCCCUAGGCGACGAUCCCUAGCUGGUCUGACAGGAUGACCAGCCACACUGGAACUAGGACACGGUGCAGACUCAUGCGGGAGGCAGCAGUGGGGAAUAUUGCAAAAUGGGCGAAAGCCUGAUGCAGCCAUGCCGCGUGUGUGAAGAAGGCCUUCGGGUUGUAAAGCACUUUCAGCGGGGAGGCGUUACCCGCAGAAGAAGCACCGGCUAACUCCGUGCCAGCAGCCGCGGUAAUUC